rnacentral:rRNA from 1 species
UACGAAGGGGGCUAGCGUUGCUCGGAAUCACUGGGCGUAAAGCGCACGUAGGCGGCUUCUUAAGUCAGGGGUGAAAUCCUGGAGCUCAACUCCAGAACCGCCUUUGAUACUGAGGAGCUUGAGUCCGGGAGAGGUGAGUGGAACUGCGAGUGUAGAGGUGAAAUUCGUAGAUAUUCGCAAGAACACCAGUGGCGAAGGCGGCUCACUGGCCCGGUACUGACGCUGAGGUGCGAAAGCGUGGGGAGCAAACAGG